UCCCUGGUGGUCCAGUGGUUAGGACUCCAUGCUUUCACUGUGGAGGAUACAGGUUUGAUCUCUGGUCAGAGAA
rnacentral:tRNA from 1 species